CUCAGACUGGGCUCCGCUGCCUCCCCUUGCACCGGACGUGGACCCAGGCUGCCGUUGGGCAAGAUAGAGGACUGAGCCAAGGCACAAACUGCUGGCCAGGUCAGUGAAGGGUCUGUGCUGGGCACCUUGGUGCUCAGGAACAUGGGAACAAUUCUAAACUCAGAAGGACAGAGAGACUCUGCCUGGAAGCAAGGAUUCCAGGGAGACGCCUUGCCCAGAACUGGGGGACUGUGUGCUGAGUAGACCCCUGGAGGCAAUGUGGGGCUGUGGGGUACUCUUCAGAGAAGGGAGCAGGCUGCUUAUGUACGUUUGGAGGGCCAGGUUCAAGGACUCUGCAUCCAUCCAGGACAAUAGCAUCAAGAGAAGAACAGACAGAGCAGAAGGAGGUGGGGUUCCCACCCCCACUCAGCCUUCUCUCUGCAUGGAUGCUGGAGGACCAGGCCCACCUGAAUUUCUGAGCUUGAGCAGUAAGGUGGAAACAAAGAAACCAAUGGAAACAAAGAAGCAAG